rnacentral:tRNA from 2 species
GGGGCAUUAGCUCAAUUGGGAGAGCGCUGCCUUUGCAAGGCAGAGGUUACCGGUUCGAGCCCGGUAUGCUCCA